AACCAGCACUCUGAUCCCAGCAGCUCCAGGUGUAGAAGAAACAUGGACCUGUUUGCCUCAGCUCCUGGCUCUUCUUCUGCACAUAGAGCCGC